GCCAACAUAGCUCAGACGGUAGAGCACAUCACUCGUAAUGAUGGGGUCCCCGGUUCGAUUCCGGGUGUUGGCU
rnacentral:tRNA from 1 species